rnacentral:lncRNA from 1 species
GCUGUGGUUUGAAAUUACUAGGGUUCUCUAUAAAUCGUAAGUGCAUGCCUUAUUAUACUUAUCUUUUGGGAAGAAGUCUACUGCCAUUUGAAAAUCUUUUUCUAAACAAUAUGAUAAUUUUAUCUCUGCUAUUUUUCAAUGUCAGCCAUACCUAAAGUAUUUUGAGUAAGACAUGUGUUACAUGAGUUUUCUUCAAGUUCGUUAUAUAGAAUCUAAUUCUCUUUAAAUUGCAAAAGCUUAUGACUUUCAGUAAGUUACUUGAAACGAACUAAAAUGUUUAAUGACUUUUGUUAAGGAUAUCUUACUCUUUCAGGGAUGUUUUACAUAUAAUUAUUGUGUUUUUAUGUGCAAUUAUAUAACUAAUUAUUGGACUUUGUAUUCUUUAUUGUUAUUUGUGAUAUUAUUGUUUCUAAAACAUUUGGAUAAAUUUAUCUCUUCUUUUUGUAUGCUUCUUUUCCUACUUAUCUUGGAAAGUGUGCUUUGUCUAAUUGUAACGGCAAAACAGAAAAAAAUUCAAUUGUUAUGGACAAUCAUAUGAAUAGAAAAUGGAUAAAUUGUGAUAGAGUUAGUUAAGAAUAUUUAGAUGGUCUAGAGAAUUUUCUAAACAAUGGUUUUCAUGACAAACAUGAUGGAGAAAUAAUUUCAUGCCCUUAUAUGAAAUUAUGCUACGCUAUGAAGUAAAUUGAGCGACAACAUAUGAUCAUCUUGUGAUUAAUAAUAUUAUACCAUCAUACGAUACUUGGAUUUUUCAUUGGGAGUCUCUCUGUAUAUCAAAUAACACUAAAGAGAAUAUUGAUUAUAGACAAGAAUCUUUCAGGGGUAAUAAUAUGAGAGGAAUGAUACAUGAUACUUCUGAAGAUUUUACUGAAUUCAUAGAUAAUAACAUUAGAGAAAGAGGAGUGGUAGAGCCAAACUUUGAAGAAAAUACUCAUCAUCCAUAAAUAAAUCAAUCACAUCGAGAGGUGGAUAAGCUUGAAUGGCUAAUGAAAGAUGCAAAUAAACCACUAUACCCUGGAUGCAAGAAAUUUAGUAAACUUUCAUUUUUGCUACAUAUUUUGUCAAAUAAAAUGGUCAUUCAAAUGGACAAAUGAAUCUUUUAGUUCUUUGCUUGGUCUUUUGAAGGACGUGUUACCUGAGGGAGAUAAGCUACCUCCUUCUUUUUAUGAUACCAAAAAAAUAGUUGAAAGCUUGGAUUUAAAGUAUAAAAAAGUUCAUCGAUGUCCAAAUAAUUGCAUGAUUUUUAGGAAUGAAUUUGUUGAUAACAAUGUCAAUAAAUGCUUAAAUUGUGGGGCUUCAAGAUGGAAAAACAAAAACGAAAAAAAAUUCCGGCGUAGGUCCUAAGGUACUUUCCUCAUAAACCAAGACGGUAAAAAUUGUUUGUCUUCAAAAAUAUCUAAAUUAAUGUAAUGAUAUCAUGAAGAACGUACGAAAGAUGGAAUUCUACGGCAUCCUGCAGAUUGUUAAGCUUGAAAAAUAUUUGACAAUAUUCAUCAAGAAUUUUGCUAAAUAUUCUCGCAAUAUUCGUCUACGGUUACCUAGUAAUGGGUUUAAUCCCUUUGAUACAAUGCAAACUAUGCAUAGUACAUGACCGGUGAUAUUGAUGCCCUAUAAUCUUCCACCAUGGUUGUACAUGAAGCAAGAGUUUUUCAUUCUAUCCUUGCUUUUCCCUGGACCCAAAGCACCUGGAAAUAAUAUUCAUAUCUUUUUAGAAUCACAAUUAGACGAGUUGAGUGAGUUAUGAGAUGCGGGGAAGAAACGUAUGAUGCCAUUGCUAAGGAGGUAUUUCAAAUGCGAGCGACUCUCAUGUGGACAAUAAACGAUGUUUUAGCAUACGGUAAUCUAUCUGGAUGAUGCACUUGUGGUCAAUUUGCAUAACCUUCUUGCAACAUAAAUACUCAAUUAGAAGGCUGAAGCAUGGAAUCAAAUUCUGUUACACGGGCCAUCGACGGUUUUAAAAGCCGAACCACAAAUAUCGAAAUGAUACUAAAUCAUUUGAUGGGACUAAAGAAUCAUAACCUGCACCUUGUUCGAUAUUUGGGUCACUAGCUCUAAAUCAAGUUAAAGACACAAAAUUUAUUCUCGGUCAGAUGAGUGAAAAGAUAAGUUUAACGACCCGAGUGGUCGUUUUGCAUUUUUGAACCUCAUUCCCUUGAACAAAACUUCCCACACUUACAUUAGCUAAUUUAUAACUUGUGGGGAUGGUUUGUGAGAGAGUUGGAGGAGUUUUGAGUAAAAAUAUGUCGAGUUGUUUCUUUAAGAUUCUCUUAAAAGAUUAAGUUUGACUUCGGUUAACUUUUUUGGAAAAUGGACACAAAUUCAUUGUUUGACGGUCCUGGAAGGUUUGUGGAAAAAUAUGGGACCUAGGCGUAUGCUCGGAAUCGAAUUCCGAGUUCCCUAGCCUGAGUUAUGAUUUUUUUUUAAAAAAAUUGUUAAAUUGAAAUCCUAAGAGUUUAAUAAAGACGAAAAAUGCUUGAUCAUAUUGAUAUUGGGACCAUAUGUUGGUUCCGGGGCUCGAUAAAGGUUAAGUAUAAUAUUUUAGUCUUGUUAGUGAGAUUUUGUGAGAACGGGACUGAUUUGACGUGAUUCGGACGUUCGGUUGAAAAGAUAGGAAUUUGGGUGUUCUUGAGGAUUUUAUGCAUUUUGGUGUUAAAUCCAUGGUUUUAGGUGUUAAAUAGGCGAUUUGAUUGCUUGAGCAAGUUUGCAAAUUUUUGUAGGACUUGCGUGAAUGUUCAGAGUAGAGCCCUGAGGGCUCGGGUGAGAUUCAGGCAUGGUAGGAGGUAAGAAAAUACAACAUUUUUAGCUGGUUAUUUUGCUGUUGUUGGUGGUUACGCAAUUGCGAGAUGGCCAUCGCAAUUACAAGAAAUUCUUUGCAUUUGUGAUAUUGGCUGGGAUGGACAGUGUUCGCAUUUGCAAACCACUUUUUAGCAUUUGCAAAAACAAUAUGGUUUGCAUUUGCGACCCAUGCAUCGCAUUUGCGAUCGAGGUAGGCUAGGGCUCAGUUCGCAUUUGCGAACCUUUGGUUGCAAUUGUGACCUCGCAUUUGCAAGCAUGGUGUCGCAAAUGCCAUAUCAAAGGACUAGUCAGGGCAUUUUAAAAACGGGACUUAGAGCAUUUAUUUCAUUCCUACUCAACACUUAGGCGAUUUGGGAGCCUUUAAAGAGGGGAUUUCAACGUAGCAUUGUCUGGUAAGUAAUUUCUAUUCUUCUUUAGUUUAAAUACAUGAAUAUUAGGUAGAUUCAACACCAAAAAAUUAGGUAAAAUCAAAGGGUUAGAGCUAGACAUAGAGUUUUAAUAAAACUGAGAUUUAACCACGAAAUUUAUUAUGAAAUGAACUAGAAUUCACAUAUUAUUUAUCUUUAGGCUAUAGAGAAUAACUUUUUUCGGAAAAUCUCGGAAUCAAGGCACGUGGGCCUGGGGUCGGAAUUUAGGAAACUUGUGGAAAAGGUAGGAAAUCACUUAAAUUGUUUAAAUUCGACAUUGUAAGCAUUUAUUGAAUAGUUCUUACUUUAUUUAACUAGUUUGUGAUCGUUCGGCUCCGAAUUAAGGGCUUGGGCUUGUUCUUGAUAUUAGAAGUGCGCUGUAGAGCGGUGUGAGUCUCAUUUCUAACCUUGUAAGAGGGAAUUCUCCCCAUAGGAUUAAUAAUUGAGUAACUGUUGCUAAAUGAUGGGGCUACGCACACGCUAGGCCCGUGCGUAGCUUCUACUAUGUUAAUUAUCCGGGUAUAGGACACACACCAUGCUUAUUUUAUAUAAACCUCUAUAUUAUCAUGUUAAUACAAGCACCUAGGGUAUGCUAAAGACAUAAAAAGGGAAUAUGAACGUACUUGUAUAAUUGUUGAAGUCUUGCUUGGUAUUAAUGACUAUCAAUGUGCCUUGUGUGCAUACUUGGCAUUUCUUAUUAUUUUUUGAUCGGGCCGAAUGCCUCGGUAUGAAUAGAUGCAUCUAUAGGCAUGUCGUCGACCCUCGGCAAGUGCACAGUUUAUUCGUGUCAGAUCAGGCCGUCGCCUUGGCAUAUUUGCGCAUGCUAUUGUUGCUUGGAUGACAGUAUUUUUUUUAUACUGUUAUUGCUUUUCAUGGCCUAACGUAAAUUGAUAUAUAUAACAAAAGUAAAUAGUUACCUGUAGACGUAGUGGAGAGCAGGACUAUUAGGUCUUCUUACAAACUGCUGCUUAUUAGUGAUUCUUGAUGGUUUGUAUAAUUACUUUGAUAUGGCCGUCGCCUUGGCAUAUUUGCGCAUGCUAUUGUUGCUUGGAUGACAGUAUUUUUUUGAUACUGUUAUUGCUUUUCAUGGCCAAACGUAAAUUGAUAUAUAUCACAAAAGUAAAUAGUUACUUGUAGAUGUAGUGGAGAGCAGGACUAUUAGGUCUUCUUAUAAACUGCUGCUUAUUAGUGAUUCUUGAUGGUUUGUAUAAUUACUUUGAUAUGUUAUUCAAACCUAGUGAGUAUUAAGUCGAUCUCUCGUCUCUACUUCUCCGAGAUUAGACGAGAUACUCACUGGGUACAUAUUGUUUAUGUACUCAUAAUACACUUCUGUACUUAAUUGUACAGGACCUGAGGCAGAUACAUCUGGAUACCAGCCUGGUGAGCACCCUUGAGUUUGUGGCAGAGACUUCCACGGUGAGCUGCUUUCUUCCUAUGCUGCCCAGCAGCCGGAUGGAGUCUUCCUUUACUUUUGCUGUCUUUCUUUAUCUCAUACAGUAGGAUAAAAAUAUUCUUUUUUCUAUAUUCUACUAGCUACUUGUAGCUUGUAACACCAUGUUCUGACACACACUUUGGUAGGCUAGUUUUGG